rnacentral:misc_RNA from 1 species
CAAGGAAAUGAAUGAGGUGGAGACGGGUGUUUUUACCAGGGCUGGUGAUAAUAUUGUAAAAUCUGAUUGUGGCAUAGAUCUUGAAGGAACCAAUAAGUCUUCAUCCUUAUGGAAAAUUAGAAACACUUUGGAUCAGCAGUAUGAAGUAGACACCGAGUUAAGACAACUGAGCAUCCUAACACUGGACUCGUGGCUUAAAAUGGUAUG